AUGUCAUGAAAAUGGUGAUGAUGGUUGUGUUUGUGAUGAUGAUCAUCAUCAACCAUCAUUACCACCAUCAUCACAAACACCACCAUCAUCACCAUUAUUA